UAAUACGAAGGGUGCAAGCGUUAAUCGGAAUUACUGGGCGUAAAGGGUGCGUAGGCGGUUGCCUAAGUCCGUUGUGAAAGCCCUGGGCUCAACCUGGGAAUUGCAGUGGAUACUGGGCGGCUAGAGUACGGUAGAGGAUGGCGGAAUUCCCGGUGUAGCAGUGAAAUGCGUAGAGAUCGGGAGGAACAUCAGUGGCGAAGGCGGCCAUCUGGACCAGUACUGACGCUGAGGCACGAAAGCGUGGGGAGCAAACAGG
rnacentral:rRNA from 1 species